rnacentral:lncRNA from 1 species
UUUUGUCUCCUGAAUCUCUACUAUAACCAAACAUCCGUAUUUUUCUUCAUUCUCAAUGUUUUCUAAAAAUUUCAUCAUGUCCCAAAAUAUUUAAAGCUAUAUAUGGUGAUGUUUCUGACUCCAUGCAGAACUCUUCUACUUCUUCACCUUAAAAAAUUCUACUAACAAAUUUGAGGGUGCUUUUUUUCCUAUAUAGAGUCACAUACCCUUCGUACUUCGACGUCCAAGAUCAAUUACAAAUAUGGCCUUCCAAUAUAUCACUCGCAAUUCGUCACAAUCGAGGGCAGGCCAAUCUAAAUUAUGAUAUGAUCAUGCUAUCGACCCAAGAUAUCCCUCCAAUAUGGAACUCUUCUUCGACUUCCUUAAUUAUUAAUUACUUCGAGAGGAGAAGCUCCAUCAUCUUAUGCAAUCUCCAUUUUUUAGUACAUAUUUUUUAGGAGGUACUAAAAUUUUAUAGCAAUAUAUAUAGAGUAUGGUUUAAAUAUUUAAAUAAAAUUCUAUGCCAAAGUUAAUGACCUUGUCAAUAAUUCAUAGCACAACACAUUCUUGCUGCAUUGGUGCAACCCAAGUAUUUUACUUGGACUAUUAUGUUGUAGUGGUUCAAGAACUCUAUAUAAAUCAUGAAGGGUCACUUUUGGGAUUUUCUUUUCCUUCUUCUCUAUCCAUCCCUACUUUCAAAUUUUGAUCAGCUAGCCCACUUUUGUUUAUGCAACUUUGUAUCAUGCUUUAUUUUCGAUAUAGUUUUUAUUUAGGUUUGGUCCUCGUUCUCUACAGCAUGAUGUUCACUUACUUAAAAAUGCAAGGAAGAACAACAUGCGUGUGGUAAGAUUCCUAUUGCCACUCAUCUAGACAACACUGUCACUUGUAAGGAUAUAAAUUAAGUUGAUUUAGUGGUUAGUUAGGAAGUGAAGUGAUAGGAAGUAGAUAAUUUUAUCUCUCUUUCAAUAAAAUACUAACAAUAUUAAAUAGUAACAUUGACAAUUCAAC